UUUUUCCACUGUUUUCUCAGUAGACUAUUUGACUUCCUUUGAAUCGGGCCUAACGAUAACACUGGAUUUGAAGCACGGUUCUCGGCGCUGAUCGCACUGACGGGACCAAGAGAAGGACUGGGUUAUCAUUGGCAAACUGCUGCUAGCUUUAAUCAAAGGACUAAACUCGACUCCCAGAGAAGUUAUUUGGGAUGACUUAGAUGAGGCAUGCAGCCGGCACCUGCAGGAUGAGACCCAAGAACCAGCCGCUCUCCCUCCCAGGACUCUACUAUAUCCAGACUGGACCCGGCUGGACUUUGGUUCAGGAAGGAAUUCCCCUGACUCUCUCAUACACAUCCAGCUCCGCUAUACUUGGGUUUCCAUCAAAAAGAAACUUGGGCACCCUGUCCAGAAGAGAUCUUCCUUGUGUGUUUACCAGAUCCACAGUUUUGAUCCAAGGAAACACAGCCGCCAGGACAUUUCACUGCAGUCUGGAGAACUAAAUUUUUUUUCUUGUAAAAAUUUCCUAGCAAAGCUGAGGUGCAAGCUAGGUUGGUAUUGGGUUGUGUGGAGAGCCUGAGAGCAGCUUGAGGGCUGAAGGCAGCCCCGGAUCACACAGUUUUGUUGUGUGGUGGAGGCACUGAAAGGGGAAAGCACAGGGCAACAACAGGCAGCUCGGAUAAACUUCACUCAGAUCCUGGUUUUAAGCGCAUCAGCAAUCAACAAGGGAAAGUCUCACAGGAGCUGAGAGGGUGUUGGCAAGGGGCACAUUGCAGAGGCCAAGAGUCACAACUCUGAAGGACUCUUGGCAAAGCACACACUGAAACACUUCCUCCAGAUCCUCACUGAGUAGCUGGUACGUGCCACAUGCUGAGGGGACAGUCAGACUGAACUGUGCCCUCUGUGGGUGCUUGCCUUUCCCUCCCAUGCAAUGUAGGUGGAAGGAGAUAGCUGCAAUGUCAUCUGGUAUCUCCAGUGCCAAGAGUGCUCUGCUGACCUUCAGUACCUUAGGUAGACUGCAAAAGGCUGGAAGUCCCAUCUCCUUAUUGUCUUUCUCUCGGUGGGCAAGAGGAGGGGACAUUACCUGGAGAAAUGUAAAAUAUUUUCACCCAAGUCCUGAUAAAAUUAGACUCGUUGAAGAGUGUGUGAGCCUUUUCGUGUACUUAGCCCCCAGAAGGGUUGGUAGCCCUGUAUCAUUUACACAGUCAUUAGUCAAAUGAGUCAAUAGUUAUGUUUGUCCUUCCUUGCAGUGCUUUAGGGAACCUCACUUCUGUCAUGAAACUGCUCUUAUCCUGAGAACAUUCUUUUUUACUUACAAUAUUUUGAGUUUUUAGUUCCUUCUCUGACGUGCCUGAGGGCAAGUACAAAAGCAUAAAAACAAGGGCGACAGGAGCAUUCUAUAAAUACUGUCCUCUGAAGAGUCAAAGCAGCUUUUUCCUAAGAUCAAGUAAGGAUACUGGACUAAGCUAGUUGCUUAAUGAGCUGCUACCAAUAUCCUACUUUUCAAAAUGAAGAUG